rnacentral:rRNA from 1 species
UAGAGAAUACCAAGGCGCUUGAGAGAACUCGGGUGAAGGAACUAGGCAAAAUGGUACCGUAACUUCGGGAGAAGGUACGCUCUUGAUGGUGAAGUCCCUCGCGGAUGGAGCUGACGAGAGUCGCAGAUACCAGGUGGCUGCAACUGUUUAUUAAAAACACAGCACUGUGCAAAAUCGCAAGAUGACGUAUACGGUGUGACGCCUGCCCGGUGCCGGAAGGUUAAUUGAUGGGGUUAGCGCAAGCGAAGCUCUUGAUCGAAGCCCCGGUAAACGGCGGCCGUAACUAUAACGGUCCUAAGGUAGCGAAAUUCCUUGUCGGGUAAGUUCCGACCUGCACGAAUGGCGUAAUGAUGGCCACGCUGUCUCCACCCGAGACUCAGUGAAAUUGAAAUCGCUGUGAAGAUGCAGUGUACCCGCGGCUAGACGGAAAGACCCCGUGAACCUUUACUACAGCUUGGCACUGAACAUUGAACCUACAUGUGUAGGAUAGGUGGGAGGCUAUGAAGACGUGACGCCAGUUGCGUUGGAGCCGUCCUUGAAAUACCACCCUUGUAUGUUUGAUGUUCUAACUUAGACCCGUUAUCCGGGUUGAGGACAGUGCCUGGUGGGUAGUUUGACUGGGGCGGUCUCCUCCCAAAGAGUAACGGAGGAGCACGAAGGUGGGCUAAUCACGGUUGGACAUCGUGAGGUUAGUGCAAUGGCAUAAGCCCGCUUAACUGCGAGAAUGACGGUUCGAGCAGGUGCGAAAGCAGGUCAUAGUGAUCCGGUGGUUCUGUAUGGAAGGGCCAUCGCUCAACGGAUAAAAGGUACUCCGGGGAUAACAGGCUGAUACCGCCCAAGAGUUCAUAUCGACGGCGGUGUUUGGCACCUCGAUGUCGGCUCAUCACAUCCUGGGGCUGAAGUCGGUCCCAAGGGUAUGGCUGUUCGCCAUUUAAAGUGGUACGCGAGCUGGGUUUAGAACGUCGUGAGACAGUUCGGUCCCUAUCUGCCGUGGGCGUUGGAAGAUUGAAGGGGGCUGCUCCUAGUACGAGAGGACCGGAGUGGACGAACCUCUGGUGUUCGGGUUGUGUCGCCAGACGCAUUGCCCGGUAGCUAAGUUCGGAAUUGAUAAGCGCUGAAAGCAUCUAAGCGCGAAGCGAGC